rnacentral:rRNA from 1 species
GUGGUGUGGAUGUUUAUUGGGCCUAAAGCAUCCGUAGCUGGCUGAACAAGUCCCCUGUUAAACCCACCGAUUUAAUCGUUGGUCUGCGGGGGAUACUGCUCGGCUAGGGGACGAGAGAGGCAGACGGUAUUCCCGGGGUAGGGGUGAAAUCCUAUAAUCCCGAGAAGACCACCAGUGGCGAAGGCUGUCGGCUAGA